rnacentral:siRNA from 1 species
GUGGUUAUGUCCGAAGAUUAAAGA